CACAGUAGUCUCAAAUCCAGUACUGUCUCCUUGUGGUUGGUACUGACCCAGCUGGCUGCCACAUCCUCAUCUGUAAUUCUUGAGCUCUGCAUCUCUAUUACUGGACCCUGGGGCUAAAAGACUUCUACGAACACCU
rnacentral:snoRNA from 1 species